UACGAAGGGGGCUAGCGUUGUUCGGAUUUACUGGGCGUAAAGCGCACGUAGGCGGAUCUUUAAGUCAGGGGUGAAAUCCUGGAGCUCAACUCCAGAACUGCCUUUGAUACUGAGGAUCUUGAGUCCGGGAGAGGUGAGUGGAACUGCGAGUGUAGAGGUGAAAUGCGUAGAGAUGUGGAGGAACACCAGUGGCGAAGGCGACUCUUUGGCCUGUAACUGACGCUGAGGCGCGAAAGCGUGGGGAGCAAACAGG
rnacentral:rRNA from 1 species